UUCUUUCAUCCUCAGUUGUCUUUAGGUCUGUGUCUUCUGUUUCCUCAUUGUCAGGUCGUCUAGUUGAUCCACCUGUUUGUCCAGCCGUUCUGAGUCCUGGUUCCUGUGUUUCUCUUCAUGUCCUGGAGCUGGUUCUCCUCUCAAUUCUGCCCACGAGCACUACUGCAUGUAAAGAGCAGGAUCAGAACAUCCAAAAGCAGCUUCUCCCAACAAUCCAGGAGCAAGCUGUGUUUGCCUGCAUGAUGGAGCUCCUUGUUUCAAGGCUGAAGCGAUAAGAGGCCCAAAGAUCAGAACAUUAAAAUUUUGGACCUGUAGUGAGGAAGCUCUCCUGAUCCAGAUCCUGAGGCCAGUUCUCCAAAACCAGGUGGAUAAAGGCCAGGUGACCCUUUUAAGGGUUAAAGGAUGGCGAGCUUCUGACAACUGGCUGGGCCUGGAGAACUUGAAAUUCACUCCAUACUGGACUCGUAAGAGGCUGAUGGUCCGUAGUAUUUCCCCCUCCUUCUCACUAUACCGACACACAAUCCAUUAUUCAUCUCUUCUUCAUUGGGAACAAAUUGCGCUUGGACAUUUUCAUCUUAAAUAUCUGGA